rnacentral:rRNA from 1 species
UACACACCGCCCGUCACACCAUGAGAGUUGGGAAUACCCGAAGCCUGUGAGCUAACGUUAAGAGGCAGCAGUCGAAGGUAGAAUCAAUGAUUGGGUGAAGUCGUAACAAGGUAUC